rnacentral:lncRNA from 1 species
ACUGCAAAGGGAACCACCUGUGCUAAACACUAGGAACAUACCUCAUUUACUGGCUGCUCUGGCACCAGACCGCAGGAUUUGGAGUGACCCUGCUGAUAUUUCUGCAGAGACUUUCCACAGACCCUGCAGACAAGCUUACCCAAUGGGCUGCACAGUCAGCAGCUCUCCACCUGCUCGAGUGACAGAGGUGAUCCCUGGGUACCUUCAGGAAAGUGCCUGACGCUGGUGCUGCCCCUUCCCAGCUGUCACGAG